UUGAAAGGGAAACGAUUGAAGUCAGUCGUACCUGCGGGUAAUCAGCCUUUUGGGCAUGAUUCUGUGGAGCAUGAGGAGUUAAACGCCUUCAUGCCUGCAUAUUCGUGUACUUUGGGUGUACUUGCCUGUGUGGUUAGUUAACAUCAAUUUUGGUUAUCAUAAAAUGGUUGGAGGAAUGUAGCUUCGAUUUCGAUUGAAGUGUUAUAGCCUUCGGCAGAUGUGAUGAUCGGGAUUGAGGAUUGCAACGGAUACCCUUCGGGGCUACCUGUCUGGUCUCUGAUCGUUGCUCUGGUGCCGAAAGCGUGCUUACGGUUAUCAAAGUCGAUGGUUAAUAGGUUAGAAUGGGUUAAAUUCGUUAAGGAUGUUGACGUA
rnacentral:rRNA from 1 species